rnacentral:rRNA from 1 species
CCUACGUGUGGCUGCAGUGGGGAAUAUUGGACAAUGGGCGAAAGCCUGAUCCAGCCAUGCCGCGUGUGUGAAGAAGGCCUUCGGGUUGUAAAGCACUUUCAGUGGGGAAGAAAGCCUUGGGGCUAAUACCCUCGAGGAAGGACAUCACCCACAGAAGAAGCACCGGCUAACUCCGUGCCAGCAGCCGCGGUAAUACGGAGGGUGCGAGCGUUAAUCGGAAUUACUGGGCGUAAAGCGCGCGUAGGCGGUCUGAUAAGCCGGUUGUGAAAGCCCCGGGCUCAACCUGGGAACGGCAUCCGGAACUGUCAGGCUAGAGUGCAGGAGAGGAAGGUAGAAUUCCCGGUGUAGCGGUGAAAUGCGUAGAGAUCGGGAGGAAUAACAGUGGCGAAGGCGGCCUUCUGGACUGACACUGACGCUGAGGUGCGAAAGCGUGGGUAGCAAACAGGAUUAGAUACCCUUGUAGUC